UACGUAGGGGGCAAGCGUUAUCCGGAUUUAUUGGGCGUAAAGCGCGCGUAGGCGGCCGAUCACGUCGGAUGUUAAAGCUCAGGGCUCAACCCUGAGAGGCCAUUCGAUACGGGUCGGCUAGAGGCAGGUAGGGGAGAGCGGAAUUCCUGGUGUAGCGGUGAAAUGCGCAGAUAUCAGGAGGAACACCGGUGGCGAAGGCGGCUCUCUGGGCCUGUCCUGACGCUGAGGCGCGAAAGCUGGGGGAGCGAACAGG
rnacentral:rRNA from 2 species